GCAGUCUGCAACUCGGCUGCAUGAAGCUGGAAUCGCUAGUAAUCGCGGAUCAGAAUGCCGCGGUGAAUACGUUCCCGGGUCUUGUACACACCGCCCGUCACACCAUGGGAGUCAGCAACGCCCGAAGCCGGUGACCCAACCUGUCAGGAGGGAGCCGUCGAAGGCGGGGCGGAUAACUGGGGUGAAGUCGUAACAAGGUAAC
rnacentral:rRNA from 1 species